GUACUGCCUGCCCAGUGAAGACUUUUUAACGGCCGCGGUAUCCUAACCGUGCAAAGGUAGCGCAAUCAUUUGUCCCUUAAAUGGGGACUAGUAUGAAAGGCAACAUGAGGACCUAACUGUCUCCUACAGCCACUCAAUGAAAUUGAUCUCCUAGUACAAAAGCUAGGAUAUACCCAUAAGACGAGAAGACCCUGUGGAGCUUCAAGCUACUGUAUUAAAACCACCACAAUGGUCCAUAAUAUAAACUUUAAGUUGGGGCGACUAAGGAGUAAAAUGAAACCUCCAUGAACCACGACUUACAGUCGUUAUAUUAGGCAAACACGCCUAAUAUUAUAUAACAACCGACCCAGCACAGCUGAUCACCGAACCAAGUUACCCCAGGGAUAACAGCGCCAUCCCCUUGAAGAGUUCCUAUCGCUAAGGGGGUUUACGACCUCGAUGUUGGAUCAGGACACCCCGGUGGUGCAGCCGCUACCAAAGGUUCGUUUGUUCAACGAG
rnacentral:rRNA from 1 species